GGCCCCAUGGUCAAGUGGUCAAGACGCCGCCCUCUCAAGGCGGAAUCAGGAGUUCGACUCUCCUUGGGGUCACCA
rnacentral:tRNA from 2 species